CCGUAGCUCAGCUGGAUAGAGCGCUGCCCUCCGAAGGCAGAGGCCAGGGGUUCGAAUCCCUUCGGGU
rnacentral:tRNA from 1 species